GAUGAAGAACGUAGCGAAAUGCGAUACGUAAUGUGAAUUGCAGAAUUCAGUGAAUCAUCGAAUCUUUGAACGCAUAUUGCGCUCUUUGGUAUUCCGAAGAGCAUGCUUGUUUGAGUAUCAGUAAACACCUCAACCUCUUCUUGAUUUUUCAAAAGGAGGGGGGACUUGAGCUAUCCCAACAACCUUUACCGGUCGGCGGGCGGCUUGAAAUGCAGGUGCAGCUGGACUUUUAUCUGAGCUAAAAGCAUAUCUAUUUAGUCCUCGUCAAACAGGAUUAUUACUUUUGCUGCAGCUAACAUAAAGGAUAAUUGUCCUCUUUGCUGACUGAUGCAGGAUUUUACGACACUUUAUGUGUUGUUCAACUCGAUCUCAAAUCAAGUAAGACUACCCGCUGAACUUAAGCAUAUCAAUAAGCGGAGGA
rnacentral:misc_RNA from 1 species